UCCCAGCAGUUCAAGUCGCAACCAACAUUAUUGGGUCUAAAACAUCCGUAGUUUGCUUGGUAAGUUUCUUGUGAAAUUUCACAUCUCAAGUGUGGAGCGUGCAAGGAGUACUACUAAGCUAGAGAUCGGUAGGUGUAAGAAGUACAUUCAAGGUAGUGGUAAAAUAUGUUAAUCUUGGAUGGACUCACAAUUAGCGAAGGCAUCUUACAAGGACGAAUCUGACAGUGAGGGAUGAAGGCCAAGGGCGCAAAAG
rnacentral:rRNA from 1 species